CAGGAGCAGAAGUGUGCGAAGAAAUCGAAGUAAAUCAUUAGAACAAUAUGCUUCUAGAUCAGUGUCAAGAUCUAGAUCUGCAUCUCCUGUUAAACCAUCAAGAGCAAGAUCAAGAUCACAGUCACGAUCACGAUCACAUUCACGGUCUGCAUCACCUCGUAAGGUGCAAUCAGGAAGUGGCUGAUUCUUGGAACGGAAGUCCCAACUCUUCAUAGCAUGCUGAAAUGAGUUUUUGGGCAAGUUUUUUACUUGGAAAUGAUUUAACGAAAGCCUAGAGACUAUUUAUUAGCUUAUGGGUUGGUAAUGAUUAAUCAAUAUGUGGAGGAUGUUGAAUUUUCUGAAUCUGCGUAGUUUUUAUUUAUUUUGCCACACAUUGUUUUCAAUUAUCUUUCUGUGCAUGUAGCAAGCCUUUGAGCAAUAGUUAAUGAGUGCAAUUUAUUGUGAGUUUUGAACA